rnacentral:lncRNA from 1 species
ACAUUUUUUUAUUAUUUAUAUAUAUUAAAACAUAUAGCAUUUACCUAUUUUAAAAAUGUACCCAUUGAACUUAUUUACAUAGGGCUCUUCAAAUAUUUGCAAAGAAAACAUCUAAGAGGGAGCCAUCUUAGCAACUAGUGCAGGUGACAUCCAAAAAUUUUUCUUUACACAUUAGCUUAUGCAUUUGCACCAUUUAUAUAUGUGAGUACUAAUGUUAUUUUAUAAUUGAUCGAUUAGUGUCCAAGACAAGAAGGAGGGUUCGAAUGUGGCUACUUU